rnacentral:tRNA from 1 species
UGGGGUAUCGCCAAGUGGUAAGGCAACGGUUUUUGGUAUCGUCACUCGCAGGUUCGAAUCCUGCUACCCCAUCCA